rnacentral:rRNA from 1 species
AUGGAUUUGCCGUGCCGUUCUCCUCGUCCACACGGAAGAUCGCGAGCCGGAGCUUCCGUCGCGGACCGGCCGGCGAGCGAGCGAGCAGUGCGUGCGUGCGAUGGAGAGGUGCGGGAGCUGGUUUGGGUCCGACGCGGCGGCGCAGGCGGCCGCGCAGAAGGCCGUGCCCGCCUCCCUUCGUCGUCCCGGCCUCCCUUCUUCAGGCCUCUGCACUUCCCGCUAUUCCAUCCCGGCGUCUUCGUGGCUCAUCACCACCAGCAGUUCAUGGGCGAGGACGGCACAAUGGCCGUGCACGCUGGCAUCGGCGUCCCGUUCAUGCAGCCGCAUUGGCGGGAGCAGGGCGCGCCUCAGUUGUUGGCGCUGGGCAGCCCUGCGCGCCCUCGCCGGCAGCGGAGGGCAACGGCCGUGGCGCCAGCGCGGCGGUGCUGA